AGGGCAUAUAGACACUGCCAACACUUUGUGUUUUGAGGUAUCACACUUCUUAUUAAGGUUGAGAAUGCGAAAGAACUCCUUCUGAUUCUGUUGGAAAACUCUGGCUCCUUCUUCUGAUGUCAUGCAAUUGUCACACGCUAGGCAGUCGCUAAGGAGUAUUUUAGCAUUAGCCAAUGUAAAAAACUCAUUUUUCUCCUCGAAGUCAUCGUUAGAACUCAGCACAUCCACCG
rnacentral:lncRNA from 1 species